rnacentral:rRNA from 1 species
UUGAACGCUGGCGGAAUGCUUUACACAUGCAAGUCGAGCGGCAGCACGGGGGCAACCCUGGUGGCGAGCGGCGAACGGGUGAGUAAUACAUCGGAACAUGCCCAGUCGUGGGGGAUAACACUUCGAAAGAAGUGCUAAUACCGCAUACGUCCUGAGGGGGAAAGCGGGGGAUCGCAAGACCUCGCGCGAUUGGAGUGGCCGAUGUCAGAUUAGCUAGUUGGUGGGGUAAAGGCCUACCAAGGCAACGAUCUGUAGCUGGUCUGAGAGGAUGAUCAGCCACACUGGGACUGAGACGCGGCCCAGACUCCUACGGGAGGCAGCAGUGGGGAAUUUUGGACAAUGGGGGCAACCCCGAUCCAGCCAUUCCGCGUGAGUGAAGAAGGCCUUCGGGUUGUAAAGCUCUUUCGGCAGGAACGAAACGGUGAGCUCUAACAUAGCUUGCUAAUGACGGUACCUGAAGAAGAAGCACCGGCUAACUACGUG